rnacentral:rRNA from 1 species
AUUGAACGCUGGCGGCAGGCCUAACACAUGCAAGUCGAACGAGUGGCGGACGGGUGAGUAAUGUCUGGGAAACUGCCCGAUGGAGGGGGAUAACUACUGGAAACGGUAGCUAAUACCGCAUACCAUCGGAUGUGCCCAGAUGGGAUUAGCUAGUAGGUGGGGUAAUGGCUCACCUAGGCGACGAUCCCUAGCUGGUCUGAGAGGAUGACCAGCCACACGGGACCUGAGACACGGUCCAGACUCCUGCGGGAGGCAGCAGUGGGGAAUAUUGCGCAAUGGGCGCAAGCCGGAUGGAGCCAUGCCGCGUGGAUGAAGAAGGCCUUCGGGUUGUAAAGUACGGUCAGCGGGGAGGCGUUACCCGCAGAAGAAGCACCGGCUAACUCCGUGCCAGCAGCCGCGGUAAUAC